GUGGGCGUGAACCCUAGCCCCCCAGUCCCCAGCCGCCACACCCCUCACCCCUCCCUCCUCACUCCCUCGCCACACUGUCGCACCAUCUGCCUCAUCACCAGCCACCGCAACAGGAGAUUUGCCGCUCCUCCUCCAUCAUCACCAGCCACAGCACCAGGAGAUCUUCCACCCACGAGAUCCAGCGCCUUGCAAGGUCCCCGGGUCGGCCUUCUCGCGCCCGUCACUCUGUUGACCAGAUAUGCACCCUUACUCCCUCUUCUCUCGCGUCGUGCGAUGCCUGCUGCUCCACCAUGCCGCGGUUAACUCAUGGAUGAUGGGGCCAUGGACCGGUCCUUGAAGGAGAGAAGGAAGACGGGGAGAGAGAAGGAAGGAGAGAAGGGAGAAGGAGAGAGGAAAGAGGAGAGGGAGGUGCAGCGGCGGAUGGGAGAUGGUCAUCGGCCGGCAUCUCCUCCCCUUCUCUUCUCACCAUCUCCUCUUCUUUGGAGCUAGCUGAGUGAUCCACGGUGAGGAAGAUGUGGAAGACAGAGCCAGCAAGGAAGACAACUCGUCCCUGUCGCCGUUGCCCACGGGCCACUUCAGUCAGGUGCCUUCCAUUCUUCCUCCCUCAGGAUUUUCAAUCCAAGAUUAGUUUUCCUUUGUAUCUAUAUAUGCUUCUACAUAAUAUAUGGUUUCUGUACUCUGCGCUUGACAAAAUGACAAGGCCUUGCAGCAGAGCAUAAAAUGGAGCCGGCAACAGGGAUCAUGGGAAAAACAACGGUGGCUGAACAGUGGACACCCGAAGCUGGCCGAGAAAGAGGGAGGCAGUGCGGGGCGGAAGAGGGCGUCCAUGUGGUAUCCGUUUCUGCUCAUCUUCAGCUUGCAGGUUGCUGAAUUUUCUCCUCUUUUUCUGGUUUGCUUUGAUCAGUAGAACAAGUCGCACAACACGUGUUUGCAUAAAUGGUUCUCACAAAUGAAGGCUUCUAUGUGCAGGUGAGCGGUUUACUGAAAUUGUAGCCAGUCCAUACUACAUGCUCCCAGAGGCAUUAAAGCACAACUAUUGUUCUGAAAUCGUUGUCUGGAUUGUAGGGGUUAUACUUUACAUACUUCCCUGUGGUGUGCAAACAUUUCUGGAAGGUGCUUACUUUCCUUGAUUGGACAGAAUAUAUGUUGUGAAGAAAUUAUAAAUCACCUUACAAAUUGACCACGCCACCGCCUUGAUUCGCUAGCCGCCGCCUAGAGUCACCCUGCUGCCGUCUCAAGCAAAACCAUGCAUUAACUCCACCACUGCAGCCAGGAAUCCCUUCCCUGUCAAGCUUACUUCCUCUGAAUCCCGGCUCUACCUGGUUCUCCUGCCGUGCUUAUUACAUGUGUGAUGUGUGCGUGCUUGCUACCUUGCUACUGGGUACUUUGUCGCUGGGUGUUGAGCCGCUGAUGUCCUGAUGCCGAUGCUUUGUUGUAUAUAUAUUUGUAUAAUGCUUGUAUCUUGCUUUGCUCUAAACUGACUGUUUUCCUUGUUGUGGCUGACCUGCUGAUAUUGCUGCUUUGCUGGCCAGGGAGUAAGUUCAGUGACAUACAGACACAAGAGAUAUUCAGUUAUGUUGUUGGGGAAAUUAAUGAUCAUUCAGUCAACAAAUGAGGCAUUAUCUUGAUCUCAUUUCAUCUCAGGCAUUGAUUAUUUGUUGUCUUCUUUGCAUGCAUUUUAUUAAUUAUUUAUACAUACUUGCCGUAUCUUUGUGCUGUUGUUUUUACAAAAUGUCGUAUCCUGUGUGCCCGUUUCCAUAUCGUCGUAUGUAUGUUGCUGUACGGUGCUUCAUAGCAAAAACUUACAUUACUAAAGAAAGUGUUCCUUUUCUUGUUACAUUGCUCUAUGAGCAUGAUCAUGUUUCUACUGAUUGAUUAUACAUAUGAUCUUUCUUUUGAUUAUUUUGCGGUAUUUCUAAUUGACACUAUGAGGUGCUUCCUUGUCAUGCAGAUUCAUCCUUUACUUAAAUACUGAUGAUGAUAUGGUUGUAAAUUAGUCUGGUAUAUGCCAAUAGUUGUCUCUCCCAGAAGAUUUUUUGUCAGAAUAGCUUACUAAAGAUUUGGUUGCUUGUCUAGAUUUUACACCCAACUAUAAGAAUGGGUUGACAACACUGAUUGGCUCUAUUGCGCUUCUAUGUUGUCUAGAUGCAUCAUUUAAUUAUACACUGAUGAUAUUGUUGUAGCUAAACAAAUGGGUGAAAACCACAUCAACCCAGCUAUAAGAAUGCAAUCUUAUGAUUCAUACUCACCUAUGGCUGCUAUAUUGUACAUUCUUUUGAUGAAACUAUACUGUACAUUUAAUAACCUGACUUCUUCCAUGAGAGAGCACUUAUUAGAGGUUUAACUGAGUGAGAUGGGGUUUAGGGACAAGAAGAGGAACCACAUCGGGUGCUCUUGCAAUGCUUGGCUGACUCCCAAGACUGUGAGGGGAAGGACUUCCUGGUGUGUGUGUGAUUUCCUUCGAACCAAAUGAACCUAACAGAAAGUCAGAAACACACACACAUGCAUUUUAUUCUUGUCCCUGAUGCUGUGUUGUUAUUGGUGUAGCCGCUGGAAGGGAAAGAGCAGAGGAUGUCUUGGGGGCUUGAUCGGUUUAUCUGUCUGUGCAGGGAUGGCAAGGCAGCUUGAAGGUGGUCACGCCCAUCUCGCGGAGAUGGUGCAAGCUGUCAAGAAUCACGGUGCUGGGGCACUGCACUUCGCCUCCGGGUGCAAGAUGGCGGAAGUGUGCGAGUACCUGUUGAGGUUGUCCAGGUGGACGUGGAUGCUGUUGACCAAGCAGGUAGAACACCUCUGGUUUGGGCAAUCACUGCUGAUAAAAGUGGGUACUUGAAUAUUGUCAGGUGUUAUGUUGAUCAUGGUGCCAAUCCCGACAUAAUGGGGUUUACUCUAUAUCAGGCCAUAAAAUAUGAAGUAUAAAACAUAUCAUAUAUUUUAUUUGGCAUAAAACAUUGUCACAAAUUGAUUCAUUUCAUAACUCCAUUGAUAAAAGUUGAAAGAAAUGAAGUGAAGCAUAUAAGAAUUUCUUAACUCACGUUAUAUUCUAUACAUUUGAUUCAGGGCAUUGUGAAAUAGUAGAACUCUUGCUCUCUAGGGGUGCUUAUGUCGAUCUAUUUUAUAUGGAUCAUGGGACACCAUUGCAUGGUAAACAUAAGCAGGAUGCAACCGUGAAGAUUUUGUUGGAUCACCAUUCAGAUGUAAGUUCCAUUCCAUGUGUCUUUGUUAUCUAAAGUUACAUUCCUUUAUUGUUUUCUCACUAUUAUAUUUGAUAACCUUUGGAACUUGAACUUUGAUCGAUAGAUAAUUAUGACUCUUCGAAGUCAGAAAAACUGUCAAUUUAUUUUGGGGCCGAUGUUAUUGUGGCAUCAAUACAACUUCAUUCCACUUGAUCCGGCACGACACAAGUCAAUAACCUCUCGCUUUGAUUUCUUCAUCAUGAAUGCCUAUAUGCAUUUUAAUGACCUUUAUUGUUCGUGUCGAGUGAAUAAGAACUACAGCAGUUUCUCAAUGUCGACCUCACUUGAGAUCCUUUUGUUUUAUUAUGAGAAGAUCAAGAGCUUUGAUAUGAUGAAGUGCAUAGUAUAUUUGAAAUAUGUAGUAAUUUUGUAUAAAGUAUUCCUAAUUUAUAUAACUUUUGUUCAAGUCCUAUCUAGAUCAAAAUCAUAAUCUUGCAUUUCGUUUUUGACAUAAUCUAUAUAUAAUGUCUUGGGUAAGAUAGAAGACCUUUAGGCUUAGAAACUUUUUGGAAUAGUUGGUCAAUGCCAAGGUAUAUGAUUUGUUUAUAUCUGCUUCUAUUUGUAUGCAUUUUUUUGUUUAUCUUCAAAAUAUUUCCUACAUGUCUCAUCUGUACACACGUGUGUGCUUGUUCUUGUCAUUGAGUUGAGUUAGUGAAUUGGUUGGUGAUGUUUAGUUUGUAGCCACUCAGAGCCACUCUAUAUUGUUGAAUUUGAGUUUUUUCCAGUGAUUUUAUUAAUCUUCAGACGAUCAGAUUUCAGUGUUUUUUCUGGUGACUGUUAGACAGAGACAUGAAUUCCGGGUCUACUUCUUUUCUUCUUUUUAUGAAAUCCUCAAUAAUUCCUACCUUUCUUGGAAGUGCAGGUACAUACUACUAUUAAUUAACUCCCAUGUUCAGUGUUUGGGACAGGUGGCAUGCACUAUCACGUCUGUAUGAUAUGGCCGAGUUUAGAUGAAAUAGUUUUGCAUGUUUGAUAUAUCUUAGUAAAUUAUGGGUUUGAUCUCCAAAUGUGCUUGAACAUAAUAAGUUAAGGAAGAUGCUUGGUUUGAUUUGAGCAAAGAGGUUGUACAGAUACUAUCUAAAUGGUGUGGAUGCUUUUCGCUUGAAAAGAUGGAAAGGAAGUUGUUUUUCUUGUGUUCUUUUCCUGUUUGAUACUUCCACACAUCUUCAUGGCCCGGUAAUUUUGGAACCAAGAAAAGCGCUGCAUUUCCU
rnacentral:rRNA from 1 species